rnacentral:tRNA from 1 species
GUCUGGGUGGUGCAGUUGGUUAUCACGUUAGUCUCACACACUAAAGGUCCCCAGUUCGAACCUGGGCUUAGACA